GAAAAGAAAAAUCUGUGUAAAUCCCAUAGGAUGUUAAAUAGAAUAAACUAUAUCAUAGGCUGCUAGUGAAUUGGCUGCUGGAUUCUCAGACCAGCGAGUGUUGAUACAACAUCUCAGCAACACUAGCUUUGAACCAGCGUUGGUGUACACAACUGUUUAUGAAAACUAAGCUAAGGUGAUUUGUCAGAACAAAAACCAGCACAUACUCCGGUCCUCUGGGGAAAGAGGUGGGCAAACCCCUGGUGCAUUGGAUACAAAUCGUCCUCAGAACUGCAUGUUGUUUGAAGGUGUAAGCAUCCAGCUAGACCUGUCCCACCAUUUCACCAAGAGGUCCCUGCAGCACAAUGCAGACUAAGUGAGAUUCAGCCAUGGCUACAAACUGUCCCUUUUGUAUGGAUAACAAUGUGCAUUAUAGUCUGUUAUUAUUAAUAGCUGUGUCAUAUCUGUAUUUAUUCUUCAGAGAACAUUUCCUUUUUAUUUCCUUUUUUCUUUUGUAAAGGUGUGUAUUUGUGAAUGUCUGCAUUUUGUCUGGCUGUGAAAGAGGGUGGUGUGAUUAUGCAAGUGUGCAAUUAAAUAACACAGCCUUCAGUUCUCCUCCACACACUGUGCCAAACUGAUAUGAGAAAAUGCAUAAACCCCAGGGUUUAGAAAGAUUAAUAACCCUGAGACUGCCCUUUCACAGCACUCUGCAUAUACAGUACAAAUGCUGCAGAAUUCACCAUCAGCAUAGGGGACCAA